ACUUGAUUUUGUCCGAAAGAGUUGGCACUCCUGCUCCCCAGCCACACACUGAACGACGAAAAGUAGGAAGGCGUCGGUUUAACGGUUCUUUGGUUUGAACUGCGAAGAGCAUCUCCCAAGUUGUUGUCAUUAAUAUUUGCUUCCUUGCUAGUUUGAGCUUAACAGAAUGUGCCUGCAACGUUAAUAAAGUGUAGUGUCUUGUUUCGCAACUGAAGCGGCGUACUGCAGCAAGCAGCCCGCAGUCUCAGUAGGUAACGACGCUUAGCCUCCUAACCCCCCUAUCUAGGCACGAGUGUACUGUACUUCGCACUUCAGAGCUAACAAGAAAACUUCAUAUCCUCUGCUGUGGAUUUUUUUGUGGAUUGUUGUGCAUUGUCCGCACUUGGUAUUUCGUACUACAACUUCUAUUUUGCUGCUGCUCUACAAAUAAGGGUGAACCUAAUGUGGAAUCUCACAAAGUUAAGGCGGACUACUUAAACUACUCCAAUACAGUUAUCUACGACCACAUCUGCUGUGUGAGUACGUUCACUGAAUAUAGCCAGUUUGCUGCAACAAGAGUGUCGCAAUAUCUACGCAGUGAGGUUAAUUAAGACAAGGAACACAUUUGUAGCAGCAAAGUAGCAAUGUACAAUCGCCAAUAAUUGCUUCAAACACAAGCCAGCAAGAAGAGACAUAUUUUUAUUUCAUAGUUCCUUUUUUCUUUUGAGUGAUUUUUUGAAUAUUCUGACCUGCGAAUUCGAAGUUGGUUUUAUGAUCUUUGCAAUGCUUCAACAUUUUGCCCGCUUCUGUUAUUUAUUUUUGGUUUGUAUUAAAACUGCAGUGUCAAUUUAA